rnacentral:rRNA from 1 species
UUGGGUGGAAGCGCAUCUAUAUGCAGUCGACGAGGAAGCCCUUCGGGGCGAGUAUGAGUGGCGCACGGGUGAGGAACGCGUAGAUAACCUGCCCUCUAGCGGGGAACAACCUUCCGAAAGGAAGGCUAAUACCGCAUAAGACCACAGUCUCUGCGGAGACAGGGGUUAAAGAUUUAUCACUAGAGGAUGGGUCUGCGUCCAAUUAGCUUGAUGGUGGGGUAAAGGCCUACCAUGGCGACGAUUGGUAGCUGGUCUGAGAGGAUGAUCAGCCACACUGGAACUGAGACACGGUCCAGACUCCUACGGGAGGCAGCAGUAGGGAAUAUUGCGCAAUGGGGGAAACCCUGACGCAGCGAUGCCGCGUGAGUGAUGAAGGCUUUCGGGUUGUAAAGCUCUGUUCUAAAAGAAUAAAAAAAUGAAGGUAUUUUAGAAGAAAGGACCGGCUAACUUCGUGCCAGCAGCCGCGGUAAGACGAGGGGUCCUAGCGUUGCUCGGAAUCAUUGGGCGUAAAGCGGGUGUAGGAGGCUAAAUUAGUCAGAAGUGAAAGCCCUGGGCUCAACCCAGGAAGUGCUUUUGAUACUGUUUAGCUUGAGUAUGGGAGAGGGCAGUGGAAUUCCUGGUGUAGUGGUGAAAUACGUAGAUAUCAGGAGGAACAUCGGCGGCGAAGGCGGCUGCCUGGCCCAAUACUGACUCUCAGACCCGAAAGCGUGGGUAGCAAACAGGAUUAGAUACCCUGGUAGUCCACGCCGUAAACAAUGGACACUUGGUGUUGGAGGUUUUGACCCCUUCAGUGCCGGAGCUAACGCGUUAAGUGUCCCGCCUGGGGAGUACGGUCGCAAGAUUAAAACU